UACAGAGGUCUCGAGCGUUGUUCGGAUUCAUUGGGCGUAAAGGGUGCGUAGGCGGCGUGGUAAGUCUGGUGUGAAAUCCUGGAGCUUAACUCCAGAAAUGCACUGGAUACUGCCAUGCUAGAGGACUGGAGAGGAGAGUGGAAUUCACGGUGUAGCAGUGAAAUGCGUAGAUAUCGUGAGGAAGACCAGUGGCGAAAGCGAAUCUCUGGACAGUUCCUGACGCUGAUGCACGAAGGCUAGGGGAGCAAGCGGG
rnacentral:rRNA from 1 species